rnacentral:rRNA from 1 species
CCUACGGGAGGCAGCAGUGGGGAAUAUUGCGCAAUGGGCGAAAGCCUGAUGCAGCGACGCCGCGUGAGGGAUGAAGGUCUUCGGAUCGUAAACCUCUGUCAGCAGGGAAGAACGGUCACUGUGCUAAUCAGCAGUGAAUUGACGGUACCUGCAAAGGAAGCCACGGCUAACUCCGUGCCAGCAGCCGCGGUAAUACGGAGGGGGCGAGCGUUGAUCGGAUUUACUGGGCGUAAAGCGCUCGUAGGCGGUAUGUUAAGUCAGGUGUGAAAUCCCCGGGCUCAACGGGGGAACUGCCUUUGAAACUGGCGAACUGGAGUGUGGGAGAGGAUAGUGGAAUUCCAGGUGUAGGGGUGAAAUGCGUAGAUAUCUGGAGGAACAUCAGUGGCGAAGGCGACUAUCUGGCACAUAACUGACGCUGAGGAGCGAAAGCGUGGGUAGCAAACAGGAUUAGAUACCCGGGUAGUC